UGUUUAAAAUGUUAUCCAUUUAUAUUGUUAAAAAUUGGCGUGGCUGGUGGAAUAAUCUGACAGUGGCACGUGGCAUGCCACGUCUAAUUUAUGCUGAUGUACAAAGAUCAGUUAUUAACAGUAAAAAUGGACGAAAUUUUAAACA
rfam:Gossypium arboreum cultivar AKA8401 contig_218_3, whole genome shotgun sequence.